UGGGGAAUUUUGGACAAUGGGCGAAAGCCUGAUCCAGCAAUGCCGCGUGUGUGAAGAAGGCCUUCGGGUUGUAAAGCACUUUUGUCCGGAAAGAAAUCCUUGGCUCUAAUACAGUCGGGGGAUGACGGUACCGGAAGAAUAAGCACCGGCUAACUACGUGCCAGCAGCCGCGGUAAUACGUAGGGUGCAAGCGUUAAUCGGAAUUACUGGGCGUAAAGCGUGCGCAGGCGGCUCGCUAAGACCGAUGUGAAAUCCCCGGGCUCAACCUGGGAACUGCAUUGGUGACUGGCAGGCUAGAGUAUGGCAGAGGGGGGUAGAAUUCCACGUGUAGCAGUGAAAUGCGUAGAGAUGUGGAGGAAUACCGAUGGCGAAGGCAGCCCCCUGGGCCAAUACUGACGCUCAUGCACGAAAGCGUGGGGAGCAAACAGGAUUAGAUACCCUGGUAGUCCACGCCCUAAACGAUGUCAACUAGUUGUUGGGGAUUCAUUUCCUUAGUAACGUAGCUAACGCGUGAAGUUGACCGCCUGGGGAGUACGGUCGCAAGAUUAAAACUCAAAUGAAUUGACGGGGUCAUAGCUGUUUCCU
rnacentral:rRNA from 1 species